UAGCCGUACCGGAAGGUGCGGCUGGAUCACCUCCUUUCUAAGGAGAUCAGCUCAUCUCGAGCAGAACUCCCGAGUUGAUCACUCGCCCGCCCCGUCCUCUCUUCUGUUUUGAGGGAGCAUCCCUCUGAGCAGUGCAAGCUCCGCCGGCCCACACAGGGCCGGCGCUCUUGCGUCUACGGACCCUUGUCCUCAGCUCCUUGAGAAUUGCAUAGCGAGCACGAGCAUCUUUGUUCUUCCAAGCUACAAAAGGCCAACGGUGGAUGCCUUGGCGCCUA
rnacentral:misc_RNA from 1 species